rnacentral:rRNA from 1 species
UACGUAGGGACCAAGCGUUGUUCGGAUUUACUGGGCGUAAAGGGCGCGUAGGCGGCUUAACAAGUCACUUGUGAAAUCUCCGGGCUUAACUCGGAACGGCCAAGUGAAACUGUUAUGCUAGAGUGCGGAAGGGCAAUCGGAAUUCUUGGUGUAGCGGUGAAAUGCGUAGAGAUGUGGAGGAACACCGAUGGCGAAGGCAGCCCCCUGGGUUAACACUGACGCUCAGGCACGAAAGCGUGGGGAGCAAACAGGAUU